rnacentral:sRNA from 1 species
GGGACUUCGAGCCCCCCUCCAUGGGCGCCC